CAGGGAAUCUUCCACAAUGGGCGGAAGCCUGAUGGAGCAACGCCGCGUGUGUGACGAAGGGUUUCGGCUCGUAAAACACUGUUGUAAGAGAAGAAUGACAUUGAGAGUAACUGUUCAAUGUGUGACGGUAUCUUACCAGAAAGGAACGGCUAAAUACGUGCCAC
rnacentral:rRNA from 1 species